rnacentral:rRNA from 1 species
GAUGAACGCUGGCGGCGUGCCUAAUACAUGCAAGUCGAGCGAACAGACGAGGAGCUUGCUCCUCUGACGUUAGCGGCGGACGGGUGAGUAACACGUGGAUAACCUACCUAUAAGACUGGGAUAACUUCGGGAAACCGGAGCUAAUACCGGAUAAUAUAUUGAACCGCAUGGUUCAAUAGUGAAAGACGGUUUUGCUGUCACUUAUAGAUGGAUCCGCGCCGCAUUAGCUAGUUGGUAAGGUAACGGCUUACCAAGGCAACGAUGCGUAGCCGACCUGAGAGGGGGAUCGGCCACACUGGAACGGAGACCCGGUCCAGACUCCUACGGGAGGCAGCAGGAGGGAAUCUGCCGCAGGGGGCGAAAGCCUGCCGGAGCAACGCCGCGGGGGUGAUGAAGGGCUGCGGAUCGUAAAACUCUGUUAUUGGGGAAGAACAAAUGUGUAAGUAAAGAUGCCCGUCUGGACGGUACCUAUUCAAAAAGCCCCGGCUAACUACGG